CAGCAGUCACCGUGCUCGGCUGACACUCCGGGUUAGCUGUGGGUGUCGAAAGGCUGUUGUUAUAGGAAGGGAGAAUAAGAGUAACACCUAGGUAUGAGGUGCAGACGAAGUGCAAGACACAAAUACUUGGGGUAUAGGAGAGGACAAUGAAGUACGAGGUGCAGACGAAGUGCAAGACACAAGUACUCCAAAGAGAGAACGGGGUAGCCGAGUAUAAGGUGCAGACGAAGUGCAAGACACAAAUACUGGGCGUACCAGAUAAGGAGUAUAACAAAGUACGAGGUGCAGACGAAGUGCAAGACACAAGUACUUUAGUUAUUAGGAGAGGAUAAUGAAGUACGAGGUGCAGACGAAGUGCAAGACACAAGUACUUCAGAGAGAGAACGGGGUAGCCGAGUAUAAGGUGCAGACGAAGUGCAAGACACAAAUACUGGGCGUACCAGAUAAGGAGUAUAACAAAGUACGAGGUGCAGACGAAGUGCAAGACACAAGUACUUUAGUUAUUAGGAGAGGAUAAUGAAGUACGAGGUGCAGACGAAGUGCAAGACACAAGUACUUCAGAGAGAGAACGGGGUAGCCGAGUAUAAGGUGCAGACGAAGUGCAAGACACAAAUACUGGGCGUACCAGAUAAGGAGUAUAACAAAGUACGAGGUGCAGACGAAGUGCAAGACACAAGUACUUUAGUUAUUAGGAGAGGAUAAUGAAGUACGAGGUGCAGACGAAGUGCAAGACACAAGUACUUCAGAGAGAGAACGGGGUAGCCGAGUAUAAGGUGCAGACGAAGUGCAAGACACAAAUACUGGGCGUACCAGAUAAGGAGUAUAACAAAGUACGAGGUGCAGACGAAGUGCAAGACACAAGUACUUUAGUUAUUAGGAGAGGAUAAUGAAGUACGAGGUGCAGACGAAGUGCAAGACACAAGUACUUCAGAGAGAGAACGGGGUAGCCGAGUAUAAGGUGCAGACGAAGUGCAAGACACAAAUACUGGGCGUACCAGAUAAGGAGUAUAACAAAGUACGAGGAAAAGAGUAUAUAGGUUAGAAAAGGAAUAAACAAAGACUUUACUUUAAACAGUAAGCCGGACAGCGACAACCGAGUACUGAGACUGAUGAAUGACACAAGGCACUGGAGUCGACUGACCACGAUGGUCAGGUCUAUUGGGUUUUUAUAAUAAUUACACUUAUUGCCGAUUUGGCAAUAAAUAUUAUUUGUUAAUUCAUCAGUCUCAGGCAGCGGAUGUGCUGUCUGUAUUUUAUUAAAAUAAUUCUCACGAUUAUGAAAACGUGACAC